UACGGAGGGUGCAAGCGUUUAAUCGGAAUUACUGGGCGUAAAGCGUGCGUAGGCGGUUCGUUAAGUCUGUUGUGAAAGCCCCGGGCUCAACCUGGGAAUGGCAAUGGAUACUGGCGAGCUAGAGUGUGUCAGAGGAUGGUGGAAUUCCCGGUGUAGCGGUGAAAUGCGUAGAGAUCGGGAGGAACAUCAGUGGCGAAGGCGGCCAUCUAGGACAACACUGACGCUGAGGCACGAAAGCGUGGGGAGCGAACAGG
rnacentral:rRNA from 1 species